AUCGAGGCGUGCUACAUUCACUCUUUCUGGCCAAAUGGUGAAUACCGCCUCAUCGACCCUGCCCUUCGGAUGGCGACGCCCCUCUUUCACCACUGCUAUUACCCCCCACGAUUCUAUUCUCGGCAUCACAUGAUCUAUGAAACGAGGUCUCCUGGUGUAAGCGUAUCACUGACCGACGGGCAUCUGCGUCGUGAUUAACUUCUUUCAGGGGUUACGCCCCCCCACGACAAUGAUUCUCUCCUUGUCUGAUGUGAUCCAUAGACUGCUUUACGAUUGAGACUGCGCACCUAUUCCUACGGGCGGUCGCUGCGGGCCUCCUUCCUCUUUCGCCAACUGUCUGACGGAGCAUCUCCUCCUGAGUGAUUACGUUCUUUAACUUCUAAGUCUUCCUUAUCCCGAAUAUAUAGACACUCGUGCGAAUAGUGAGAAGGAUUGACCGUACCGGAAUAGAAAGCCACGGCUAACUACGUGCCAGCAGCCGCGGUAAUACGUAGGUGGCAAGCGUUGUCCGGAAUUAUUGGGCGUAAAGCGCGCGCAGGCGGAUAGGUCAGUCUGUCUUAAAAGUUCGGGGCUUAACCCCGUGAUGGGAUGGAAACUGCCAAUCUAGAGUAUCGGAGAGGAAAGUGGAAUUCCUAGUGUAGCGGUGAAAUGCGUAGAUAUUAGGAAGAACACCAGUGGCGAAGGCGACUUUCUGGACGAAAACUGACGCUGAGGCGCGAAAGCCAGGGGAGCGAACGGGAUUAGAUACCCCGGUAGUCCUGGCCGUAAACGAUGGGUACUAGGUGUAGGAGGUAUCGACCCCUUCUGUGCCGGAGUUAACGCAAUAAGUACCCCGCCUGGGGAGUACGACCGCAAGGUUGAAACUCAAAGGAAUUGACGGGGGCCCGCACAAGCGGUGGAGUAUGUGGUUUAAUUCGACGCAACGCGAAGAACCUUACCAGGUCUUGACAUUGAUGGACAGAACCAGAGAUGGUUCCUCUUCUUCGGAAGCCAGAAAACAGGUGGUGCACGGUUGUCGUCAGCUCGUGUCGUGAGAUGUUGGGUUAAGUCCCGCAACGAGCGCAACCCCUAUCUUAUGUUGCCAGCACGUAAAGGUGGGAACUCAUGAGAGACUGCCGCAGACAAUGCGGAGGAAGGCGGGGAUGACGUCAAAUCAUCAUGCCCCUUAUGACCUGGGCUACACACGUACUACAAUGGGAGUUAAUAGACGGAAGCGAGAUCGCGAGAUGGAGCAAACCCGAGAAACACUCUCUCAGUUCGGAUCGUAGGCUGCAACUCGCCUACGUGAAGUCGGAAUCGCUAGUAAUCGCAGGUCAGCAUACUGCGGUGAAUACGUUCCCGGGCCUUGCACACACCGCCCGUC
rnacentral:rRNA from 1 species